UACGGAGGGGGCGAGCGUUAUUCGGAAUUAUUGGGCGUAAAGGGCGCGUAGGCGGCUUGAUAAGUCAAAGGUGAAAUCCCUCGGCUCAACUGAGGAACUGCCUUUGAAACUGUCUGGCUUGAGGCCGGGAGGGGGUAGCGGAAUUCCCAGUGUAGCGGUGAAAUGCGUAGAUAUUGGGAGGAACACCGGUGGCGAAGGCGGCUACCUGGACCGGUUCUGACGCUGAUGCGCGAAAGCGUGGGGAGCAAACAGG
rnacentral:rRNA from 1 species